rnacentral:lncRNA from 1 species
UAAAUAUCUGUCGUGUAAGGCAGUCUGGCCAAGCUUCCUGCAACCUGCAGUUAAAGGUCAACAACUGAUACUUUGAGUAGAGUUCCUGUUAGUGUGACUCAAUAGUAAGUACAUGGUUUAAGAAGGAUAUAGAGGCUUAAAAUCUGUCACAGAAUUGUCAACAGUAGGACCAAGGAUUAUCAUUCUUUGCUUCAUCUGCCUCCUGAGUGCUGGGAUCAAAGGUAUAAGGACGUGUAUACUGGAGGGAAGCAAUACUAAAGAAAAUUAGCAUGGCUAUUACAAAGAAGUAUGGAAAUUAUCUAAUCCUACUUUGUUGGGCUGCAUACUGGCUGGAGGAAGUGACUUGGCAGAGAGAAGGAGCCCUGGGUCCGGUAUGGGAGACUGACGAGCACGGUUCUCUCACGCACUGAGUGACCGAAUGUGUGAGCGGUCACUGCUCCAGACUCCAUUGCUUCAUCUAGGGAAAAAGGAAAGAGAUGACUGGAACAGACAAUCACCAGCUUAAAAAAAUACCAAUUUGUGCGGACAGGAAGAAACUGAAUGAAUGUGCGUUGUAGACACGAGUGCAGUUACGGCAAGGACCCCGCUUUCUCAGACCCAUGAGGAUAGCAAGGCCUUCCCUGGUCCGAGUUUGGAUGUUGACAGAUCCUGCAAGUAUGUCAAUCACUGGUUCGUCCUCCAGCAUGACUGCGCCUGAGACUGGUUCCCUGCUACCCAGAGUUGUCAUCCAGCCUCACCCAGCUGUGUUUAAUAGAAGAACCGAAUGUCUGGGCUGCUGGUACAUCUCCACCAGAGAACACCGCACCCUCCAUCCCAGCUCUUCUGCUGGUGGUCCUUUAUAACCGUUAAGGCGAUCCCCAAACAAUGCAGGUCAGGGCACAAAUUUGGGGGCUGCAGAGGUGGCUCCGUUCAGAAUGUAUAGGAAGCCCUAUCUACUCUCCCUAACCCCCAGCACUAUACUCAACUGGAGGAAUGGCUCAGUGAUUAAAAACACUGUGCAUACUUGAUGACCUGGGUUUGAUCCCCAGAUCACAAUGUGGAAGAAGAGAACAUAUCCCUGAAAUUGUCCUCUGACAUCUACUAAUGUGUCACGGCAUAUAUGCAACCACACUUACAUCAUCAUCAUCACCAUCACCAUCACUAUCACCACUGUGCAAUUAAUAAAACUGAUCAUGGUGUGGUCCAGGGCUGUCGUCCCAGCACUUGGGAGGUAGAGGCAGGAGGAUCAGAAAUUCAAGGUUGGUUAUAUAAAGACGUCCAGGCCAGCCUGGACUCCUCGAGACCCUGUCUCAACAACCACAAAACAAACCCCUUUGCAAAGCUUGUAGAUUGAUUUUUAUAAGAGACACAUCUAGUUGUAGAAUUUUGCAGAGUGUCAAAUGUAAGUGAAAAGUCACAAAAAGUAUACAGUACUGCUAUGAAGCAAUUGAUAUAUAUAUAUAUACACACACACAUAGGUGUGUAUGUGUACACACACACACACACACACACACACCUCUGAUACUCUGAAGCUUUGAGGCUGGUUAACGUAACUGUGGACACAGGUAUGGUUUGCUUUAUUUAGUAGGGAUGUGUUGCUCAGAGGAGUUUGUUGAAUGGACGUUGUCAAAAGUUAUGCAGAUGCCCAGUUUGGAAGAAUUCGGGACAUGGUAACUCUCAGACAGUAAACCCUGAUUUAGGAGGCCAUACCGGAGUCCUAGGACAUCAGUGAUGUAUGCAGUGGAUUUAUAAUGGCUGCUGUGAGAUCAUAAGUUUGUUUUAUUGUCCUCUAGGGACAUUAUCUGCAAAAGUCAGCCUGACAGUGAUACCUUCCUAUGAGAAGAAAGACAACACCCAAAGGAGCUGCAACAGGAGCCCCAAGGAGUCAGACGUUAUCAGGUAGCAGGCAGACUUUGCUGCCAUUUACAAAAUCCUCCAAAUGUGUCAGGCUAGGGGUCAGAGGUCACAGCUGAGCCAGAACUGUACUAAGCUGUUUUAGAGUCGGCGUGAAAGGCAGAAGGUGUGCUGUGUGUUGUCUAACGCAUCGAAUGGCUGUGUGUACUUAAGAAUGGCUUUUGGUUUUAAUAUCGUUGAGUUUGAUUCCAUUAAAGCCAUGAAGGCAGAUUCUUAAUAAAUUAUGUUCUGGAUAUGAAUUAAAUACUUAAACAUGACAUGAUAUCAGUUAAGUAUUUUUAGUCUGCUUUAGAAAAGAAAAAUUCUAGGUACAUAAAAAUUUCAAACACAGGCCUUCUAAUAAACAUUUUAAAAACAUGAAAAGCCAUGCACACAGGGUGGAUAUUUUUUACUUUUGGAACCUUAGGUUCUACCAAAACUUUGCAUGGCACCAAUAGAUCUCUGCUUUAUUUAAAACAUUGUUACUCUACACUAAAACGUAAGUCCCCAUGGUAGUGAUGCCCCUGUUAGACUGUCACAUAUCCUGUAAGUGACACAGACAUUGUAACAACAACAAUGAAACAUUUACAAAUGAGAGGAAAAACCAAGAAGAGCAACAAGAACAACAACAAAAUACUGCAUGUCCAGCCUCCCUUGCCUCUGGCUCUGUUUGUCUGAGGCUGCAUUAUCUAACUGGGUUUCUCCAGGAUUUGCUUGUAGCUUUUGAAGGGUCUCUUGGCAGGCCUUGCCAUCCUCCUAUUCCCUCUGCCUUGUUAAAAAACAUUAGAUUACUUUCUUAAAAUUAGCCACCCUUAUCUGGCCACUUCCUCCUUCAGAGGCUAACUACCAAGACCCAGCUAUCAAAGUAUUGAAGUCGAGCAACCAAAAACUCCCUUUGACAUACCUAAUUAAUGUGGCCAAUUAAAAUUAAACUCUUCAUCUUAACACAGGACUUUUCCUUGUACUUUUAUAAGCCUAAACUUGCCUCCUCUCUAUCCAGAGGCAGUCCUUUGUCUUCUGGUACAAAUACCCCUUAGCCCUCUUCCUUGUUCCUUUCCCUUUCUUCUUUGUCCUCUGUCUCCUGUCUUUGUUUUGUCCCCAUGGGGCAAAUAAAUCUCCUCCUCUUUGCUGAGAACCUAGUCUUGGGGUGUCCUGAGCCGAUACUGGUCUCUACAACUUUAGCUGUAGUCCAAAAUGAGCUCAGCUGACAUGCUUGGGGCAAACACACACUGAGGCUUGUUGGAGAGGACAUUUGAGGUAGAGGACAAUCCUUAGGCUUCUACUUCUGGGUCAACUUCUAUGAGAUCAACUAUGGGGCAAGGAUUAGUAUUUAAAGUCCUGGUUAGCCUGAGACAGAUGCAGAUACUUAUACCCAACUGAUGGACAGAAGCCAGAGACCCCUGGGGUUGAAUUAGGGAAAGGCUAGAAGAAGUUGUGGAGGAGGGUGACCCCAUAGGAAGACCAGCAGUCUCAACUAACUUGGACCCCUGAGAUCUCUCAGACACUGAGCCACCAACCAGGCAGCAUACACUAGCUGAUGUGAGACUUCCGACACAUAUACAGCAGAGGAUUUGGCCUCAGUGAGAGAAAAGGCACCUAACCCUCAAGAGACUUGAGGUUCCCAGAGAGUG